rnacentral:rRNA from 1 species
UAAUAGAUACCCCUGGUAGUCCUAGCCGUAAACGAGUACUCGCUAGGUGUCGGCCACGGUGCGACCGUGGUCGGUGCCGUAGGGAAGCCGUGAAGCGAGCCACCUGGGAAGUACGGCCGCAAGGCUGAAACUUAAAGGAAUUGGCGGGGGGAGCACUACAACGGGUGGAGCCUGCGGUUUAACUGGAUUCAACGCCGGAAACCUCACCGGGACCGACAGCGAUAUGAAGGCCAGGCUGAAGACCUUGCCGGAUUAGCUGAGAGGUGGUGCAUGGCCGUCGUCAGUUCGUACUGUGAAGCAUCCUGUUAAGUCAGGCAACGAGCGAGACCCACGCCCACAGUUGCCAGCGUACUCUCUGGAGUGACGGGUACACUGUGGGGACCGCCGCUGCUAAAGCGGAGGAAGGAAUGGGCAACGGUAGGUCAGUAUGCCCCGAAUAUCCCGGGCUACACGCGGGCUACAAUGGUUGGUACAAUGGGUAUCUACCCCGAAGGGGAUGGAAAUCUCCUAAAGCCAAUCGUAGUUCGGAUCGAGGGCUGCAACUCGCCCU